CCUCCUCCUCCUCCUCCUCCUCCUUCUCCUCCUCCUCCUCCCCGGCGGAGGGGAUCACUGGCCGAAGUCCCCUGCUGAAGCCCCGCGGUGAAGUACUGAAAUCUGCAUUUUCCCCAAGAAGGCACACCUACCAGAGGCCCCGCCAAUGCCAUGCCGUAGCUCCGCUGUUCCUUUCACGCCAGCAUUCUGUAGCCAGGCUGAAGAAGCAGCCCCAGCUGAAAAGGACGGUUCAAAUGCAAAAGGAGCAACCCAAUCCCAGAAUCAAGGCUGGAGAGCCCAGGCCUGGACACAGCACUCGGGGCACCUCACCAGUGCUGGUCACUGCCCUGGACGUGCUGGCAAUACUUCUUCAUGCAGCCUCUUGGCUGCCUUUGCUGCUAGGGCACGUUCCUGGCCCGUGGUUGCGGUCUGCCAGGACCCCUAGGUCCUCUGCAAAACUGCUUUCCAGCUGGUCGGCCACAGCAGGUACCCCCGCACAGGGUUAUUUAUUUUACAAACCUGAAUGGUACAU